UGUGCAACCCAAAAUGUCCGGCAUAAUAAAAUAAAUCGAUCAAUAAUCAUAUCAUAACAGAACUUUUACACCCGCUUAAGUAUUUUACAUUACAACUUGUUUAUCAAGAAUUUAAGAUAUUGUACAUUAGUACAACAUAUUCUGUACGAUUUUAAUUAAAUAUGUACUAUGUUCUCCCAAAUUAAUAUAACCUACAGGCGGACUUCUUUGAUGUUCCAAAAUAUUGUACUAGUAAUCCCCAUUGAUAGAUCAACUUCGUUACAGCUUGACUAACCAAGACACUAUGAAAAAUGAAUAAAUGCACGUAUUAUGGAUUAGAAGAAAGGAAAAUAGAAGAAAGAAAAGACAAAUGGAAAAAUAGAAUAAUUUUUAUAUGAAAUUACUUUAUUGAACAUGUAAAAUCCGUAUUGACAUGAGGAAUGCUAAUUCUCAUUUACAAAAUAACACAAAUGUAAAAUUUAAGAGACAAAUCACAUCGAAAACCUACCUAUUAACUAACUAAAAAUACAACAUACACAUCAAUUUCCUAAAUUAUUUAAAUUGCCCGGCGGGAGACACCGCCGUGUCUGUUCUUAGCUUAAAGUUUGGUACCAUUAUAAGCAUUGAAUUUACAAUGAGAAGAGGUAGGUUUAACAACAAGUGGCAUCACAUCCUUCCAUGAAAUAGUCUCUUAUUUUACAUGUUGAUAUUAGUUAGACCAAAAAUGUAAUGUCCAGAGUGCACACUUAUGCAGUAAACUAAAGUAUGGUAAAAUCAAUUCAAAGCACGGCUUCAAAUAAAAACACUUUAUAUGGUAGACAUCAUGUCGUAUUGCAGACAUACAAGUUUUGAUAAAACCAGUAGUACAUCUUACAAAUGAGCUACCAUGACGUCACAGCGAACUUAACGAGGGAGGGCUAACUG